rnacentral:rRNA from 1 species
CCUACGGGGGGCAGCAGUGAGGAAUAUUGGUCAAUGGACGAGAGUCUGAACCAGCCAAGUAGCGUGAAGGAUGACUGCCCUAUGGGUUGUAAACUUCUUUUAUAUGGGAAUAAAAUGUUCCACGUGUGGGAUUUUGUAUGUACCAUAUGAAUAAGGAUCGGCUAACUCCGUGCCAGCAGCCGCGGUAAUACGGAGGAUCCGAGCGUUAUCCGGAUUUAUUGGGUUUAAAGGGAUCGUAGGGGGAUUGUUAAGUCAGUUGUGAAAGUUUGCGGCUCAAACGUAAAAUUGCAGUUGAAACUGGCAGUCUUGAGUACAGUAGAGGUGUGCGGAAUUCGUGGUGUAGCGGUGAAAUGCUUAGAUAUCACGAAGAACUCCGAUUGCGAAGGCAGUUCACUGGACUGCAACUGACACUGAGGCUCGAAAGUGUGGGUAUCAAACAGGAUUAGAUACCCUUGUAGUC